rnacentral:rRNA from 1 species
UUCCAGACUCCUACGGGAGGCAGCAGUGGGGGAUAUUGCACAAUGGGGGGAACCCUGAUGCAGCAACGCCGCGUGAGUGAAGAAGUCAUUCGUGAUGUAAAGCUCUAUCAGCAGGGAAGAAAAUGACGGUACCUGAAGAAGAAGCCCCGGCUAACUACGUGCCAGCAGCCGCGGUAAUACGUAGGGGGCAAGCGUUAUCCGGAUUUACUGGGGGUAAAGGGGGCGCAGACGGCGAUGCAAGCCAGGAGUGAAAGCCCGGGGCCCAACCCCGGGACUGCUCUUGGAACUGCGUGGCUGGAGUGCAGGAGGGGCAGGCGGAAUUCCUGGCGUAGCGGUGAAAUGCGUAGAUAUCAGGAGGAACACCGGUGGCGAAGGCGGCCUGCUGGACUGCAACUGACGUUGAGGCCCGAAAGCGUGGGGAGCAAACAGGAUUAGAUACCCCUGUA